rnacentral:ncRNA from 1 species
AAAGAAAAGAGGUAAACCCGUACGAAAGUCGGGGACGCAAAGCCACGGGUCUAAAGCGUGGGACUAUGACGUCCGGAUCACGCCAUGACAGCCGGGCUGCUCUA